rfam:Serpula lacrymans var. lacrymans S7.3 unplaced genomic scaffold SERLA73scaffold_614, whole genome shotgun sequence.
AACUUUCAGCAACGGAUCUCUUGGCUCUCGCAUCGAUGAAGAACGCAGCGAAUUGCGAUAUGUAAUGUGAAUUGCAGAUUUUCAGUGAAUCAUCGAAUCUUUGAACGCACCUUGCGCUCCUUGGUAUUCCGAGGAGCAUGCCUGUUUGAGUGUCA